CUGAGGGAUUCUGGGAGUAUGCUAACAGAUGUCUAGUGACGAUCUGUGGACAGUAAACAAUCUAGCAAAUUACAUUACUAGUGAGGAGCAGCUGUUGAAUGUGGUCACACGGAAGGCACGAACGGACCCUGGAUACAUUUCCAUAUGUCAACUGCUAAAGAAAAGAUAACUAACAUCAAAGUUACCUUAGGAUUUCAUGUAGUAGACCUGGUUGCAGCCGGAAGACACUGUUAUAAGUUAAGAUUUAUGGACAAGGGACAGGAGGAAGGUUGUCUAAUGCUCUGAUGAAGUUUCAGUCUUUCAGUGCAGCUGAGUCUGAGGACCGUGGUCUUCCUCAGCAUAUGAGGAUGUAGCUCUCAAUAACUGCCUCCAAUGCCAUGUGACACCAUGCUCCUUGCCAAGAUGAUAAUGGACUAAGCCUCUGAAACUGUAAUUUUGCCUCCGGCAAACCUCUGGCUUUUAGCGAUGGAAUCAAAACACAAGCCACUCUCCCUCUGAAGCUCUACAGUCUUCCUUGUUAUUAAAAAAAAAAUAUCAAGCAUGGUCUUGCUGAAGAAGUGUGCACGGGCUGUCUCCCUCUUAUCCUUGUGGUGGUUUUGCUCAGGGACACAUGUGGUUGGAGCCUGUUCUUGAUGCUGGCUCUUCUCUGCCGCAGGCUGAAGUUUCUAAGCCUUUGUUUCAUUAGGACCUUUCCCUCAUCCUCCUUCCUGAGCUUUCUCGACUGCAGCAUCUGUCACCCCAUGACGGACACUAUUUCCUCAUUUUCGCUCAUUUGUUUUACAGAGUUUUAUGUUUCCGUGUCUCACACUAUAUCUUCCACACCAGGAGCAUAUUAAAUGAUUGGUUGGGUGUUGGAUCGAUGGAAUGAACGUAAAACAAUUCCUCCUUUUGAAAGGAUGAAGGUGCUUACUUUCAAAAAAAAGAUGCGAUGGAACCUUUUAAUCCGAACUAUCUCCAAAUUCCUUGAAAAGUCAUCACCAUGGGGGACAAAAGUUGAAGCCAGAAAGGAAGCAAAGACAAGAACAGGGAGUAGGGGAAAGGGCCGCACCUCCUCAUACCAUCGUACCGUUGAUCAGAGCUUCAGCACAUGAAUUUUGGGGGAACAUAUUCAACGCAAACUGCAAGGCUCCAUAAAACGAGGCAGUCCAACAGCUGGAGAUGGGGGAGGGGGACUUGCUUGGUGGGGAAUUCCCAGAACAGAUGGGUGCCGUAGAACGUGGGGCCCACGAGAAAUCUGAUCAAUCUUCCAGCACCUGGGCUUCUUUCCCCAGACAUUCUCACCCGGCAGCUGCUGCCUGUCAUCCUGCCUUCCCCCUCUCAGCUGGCAGAGUUCAGUGACGAGGAGCACAGGCUCUUUUCCCUGACAGUGUUUGGGCACACAAACUUGCAGGGCUUCUCCACGUUUAGUCCUAGAGGCUCUCAGGAAACUCUUGGGAAGGGUGUUAAACCUGUCAGUCUUAGAGGCCUACUUCACACACCCAAAAUUUAAACCCCUACUGGGGCUCAGAAUCCACUCAGAACAAAAUUCAAAAGAUACUGUGCGGCUUUACACAAUUUACUGUGUUGCCAUAUUGUGGUUUUAAUCACAACAGUCUUCCUUUCUGCCAUUCUUUUUAAUCUUCCCCUCCCUUAUUCAUUUGCCUUUUUGUUUCUUCACCUCUCCCCCAUACCCCCUCCCCCAGCAGUAACUGAAGCUCCAAAUCAGGAGUUUAAAAUAGUGCGGGUGCGUUUUACUAGAACAAUAGAUUAGUAUGCGGUGGCAGUGUCCUCGGUAGCUGUCAAUAUAGGGAAGUGCAUGCACUGUAGCAGCUUGGACUGUCACUCAGCAGCUGGUGGGAGAAAAGCAAAACCCACAGUGAUGGAGGGGUUACAGGUCAUAGGCUCUCUGAGGGCAGGAAGGGAAGCAUGGGGCAGUUUUCUGCUUGAAGGAUGCUACUAUCACCGGUUCUUAAAAGGCUAAGAUGCUGUGGGGGAAAAUUAAUAAGCAUUUGGCAUAAUCCUGUUUCUCUAUUUUCUUUCCCCUUUUGUAUUUUUGAGCGGUUAAAAGUUUUUAGGCAGGAAAACCCCUUACCAGAGGAAGCAGUCUUUCACUCGCUGCUUUGCAAGACUUCUAUUUGCUGUGCCUAAAACCUCAGAACGGGACCAACACUUGGGAAUUUGUUAGAAAGCCACAUCUUAGACUUCAAUCCAGAUCAACCAGCUUAAGAAAGGCAACAAAGCAGAGACACAGCAUCAACGAAAGCAAAACAAGAACAGAAACUUUUGAAAGACUGGAUACUUUACUGAUCUGUGUUUUAUCAAAGCUUCAGGAUUUUACAUGGCUGCUAAGGAUUCAAACUCAGGUCCUUAUGCUUGGACAACUGUUAACUCAUCAACUGCACUGAACUGGAUCUAUGCCGCCAACCAAGGAACCAAGCAACGAAAGCCUAAUGUACUUUCUUAGAGGACACAGCAAUUAGUGGAUAACUUCUUUAGUUCUUUAUUCAAAA